GGGGAUAACACUUGGAAACAGGUGCUAAUACCGUAUAACACUAUUUUCCGCAUGGAAGAAAGUUGAAAGGCGCUUUUGCGUCACUGAUGGAUGGACCCGCGGUGCAUUAGCUAGUUGGUGAGGUAACGGCUCACCAAGGCCACGAUGCAUAGCCGACCUGAGAGGGUGAUCGGCCACACUGGGACUGAGACACGGCCCAGACUCCUACGGGAGGCAGCAGUAGGGAAUCUUCGGCGAUGGACGAAAGUCUGACCGAGCAACGCCGCGUGAGUGAAGAAGGUUUUCGGAUCGUAAAACUCUGUUGUUAGAGAAGAACAAGGAUGAGAGUAAAAUGUUCAUCCCUUGACGGUAUCUAACCAGAAAGCCACGGCUAACUACGUGCCAGCAGCCGCGGUAAUACGUAGGUGGCAAGCGUUGUCCGGAUUUAUUGGGCGUAAAGCGAGCGCAGGCGGUUUCUUAAGUCUGAUGUGAAAGCCCCCGGCUCAACCGGGGAGGGUCAUUGGAAACUGGGAGACUUGAGUGCAGAAGAGGAGAGUGGAAUUCCAUGUGUAGCGGUGAAAUGCGUAGAUAUAUGGAGGAACACCAGUGGCGAAGGCGGCUCUCUGGUCUGUAACUGACGCUGAGGCUCGAAAGCGUGGGGAGCGAACAGGAUUAGAUACCCU
rnacentral:rRNA from 1 species